CAGAGUGGAAAUCAAAAAGGGUCUGAACAAUCUGGAAAAAGAGAGACCUGGUGGAGACACAUUCAUGAACCUUGGCCUGCAGAGGGCAAACGAGCAGAUAACCCAGGAGAACUUUGGCACGGCCAGUGUGAUUAUCGCUCUGACAGACGGAGAGCUGCAGGAACAUCAGCUCAUCACCGCGCAGCAAGAGGCAGAAAGAGCCAGGUCUCUUGGAGCGAUUGUGUACUGCGUCGGUGUCAAGGACUUCAAUGAGACUCAGGUAAUGCCAA